GGGGUCGUGGUGCAGUUGGUUAGCACAUUGGCCUGUCAAGCCAAAGGUCGCGGGUUCGAGCCCCGUCGGCCCCGCCA
rnacentral:tRNA from 1 species